CGACGGGUGAGUAACACGUAUCCAACCUGCCGUCUACUCUUGGACAGCCUUCUGAAAGGAAGAUUAAUACAAGAUGGCAUCAUGAGUCCGCAUGUUCACAUGAUUAAAGGUAUUCCGGUAGACGAUGGGGAUGCGUUCCAUUAGAUAGUAGGCGGGGUAACGGCCCACCUAGUCUUCGAUGGAUAGGGGUUCUGAGAGGACGGUCCCCCACAUUGGAACUGAGACACGGUCCAA
rnacentral:rRNA from 1 species